rnacentral:lncRNA from 1 species
CUCGCACAAAACGGCCCCAGCUUCUCUAAUGGAGCUGCAGUUGACAAAACCCACGCUUCGCAGGCUGCUGAGUGAAAUGCUUAGGAAAGCAAAAUUGGAAGAUGCUGCGCUACUCAAACCGUGAAUGUAUUUUCCACAAUGAUAGCCCAUAUCUGCCCUUAUUCGAUGGAACCAGGCUGUGUUCUUCACACCAUAAGUGUCAUCUUCACAAUAUCUCUACUCAAGAGGCUCAGAAACUCCUCGGCUCGCCAGUGCAUGACGUUCCCAGAGGCUGUUCUAAGUGUAUUUGUGCUAAAGUACAAAAUGACUGUUCGAGCCAUCACUCCUAUCUGGCGGAAACAGAUCCUCAAAAGAAGAUUCUGGGAUCAAUUUGCUUAUCUAUUUGAGGAUCUUCGAAGAGUGAAGUUUGAAAUCCUACCAGGAGAGAGCUCCUGUCCAGCCACAGUCUUGGCAGAAGGAAAGGGGAACACAGAAAUAGAACAUGUCGUAGAAGGAAGCUCUGAUUACUGAACUAUGCUGCAUCCAG